AAACGUAGGAGGCAAGCGUUAUCCGGAUUUACUGGGCGUAAAGCGCAUGCAGGUGGUUUUGUAAGUUGGAUGUGAAAGCUCCUGGCUUAACUGGGAGAGGUCGUUCAAAACUACAAGACUUGAGAUUGGUAGAGGAAAAUGGAAUUCCGGGUGUAGUGGUGGAAUGCGUAGAUAUCCGGAGGAACACCAGUGGCGAAAGCGGUUUUCUGGACCAAUUCUGACACUCAGAUGCGAAAGCUAAGGUAGCAAACGGGAUUAGAGACCCCGGUAGUCUUAGCUGUAAACUAUGUGAACUUGGCGUCGGUGGGUUCAAAUCCAUCGGUGCCGAAGCAAACGCGAUAAGUUCACCGCCUGGGACUACGGCCGCAAGGUUAAA
rnacentral:rRNA from 1 species